GAUGAACGCUGGCGGCGUGCCUAAUACAUGCAAGUCGAGCGAACAGACGAGGAGCUUUCUCCUCUGACGUUAUCGGCGGACGGGUGAGUAACACGUGGAUAACCUACCUAUAAGACUCGGAUAACAUCGCGAAACCGCAGCUAAUACCGCAUAAUAUAUUUAACCGCAUGUUACAAUAGUGAAAGACGGUUUUGUUGUCACUUAUAGAUGGAUCCGCGCCGCAUUAGCUAGUUGGUAAGGUAACGGCUUACCAAGGCAACGAUGCGUAGCCGACCUGAGAGGGUGAUCGGCCACACUGGAACUGAGACACGGUCCAGACUCCUACGGGAGGCAGCAGUAGGGAAUCUUCCGCAAUGGGCGAAAGCCUGACGGAGCAACGCCGCGUGAGUGAUGAAGGUCUUCGGAUCGUAAAACUCUGUUAUUAGGGAAGAACAAAUGUGUAAGUAACUAUGCACGUCUUGACGGUACCUAAUCAGAAAGCCACGGCUAACUACGUG
rnacentral:rRNA from 1 species